rnacentral:rRNA from 1 species
UACGUAGGGUGCAAGCGUUGUCCGGAAUUAUUGGGCGUAAAGAGCUCGUAGGCGGCUUGUCGCGUCGUCCGUGAAAACCUGCGGCUCAACUGCAGGCUGGCGGUCGAUACGGGUAGGCUGGAGUUCGGUAGGGGAGACUGGAAUUCCUGGUGUAGCGGUGAAAUGCGCAGAUAUCAGGAGGAACACCGGUGGCGAAGGCGGGUCUCUGGGCCGAUACUGACGCUGAGGAGCGAAAGCGUGGGGAGCGAACAGG